rnacentral:rRNA from 1 species
UGCCAGCAGCCGCGGUAAUACGGAGGGUGCAAGCGUUGUCCGGAUUUAUUGGGUUUAAAGGGUGCGUAGGCGGUCUAUUAAGUCAGUGGUGAAAGUCUGUAGCUCAACUAUAGAAGCGCCAUUGAUACUGGUAGACUUGAGUAUACCAUAAGUAGGCGGAAUUUAUGAUGUAGCGGUGAAAUGCAUAGAUAUCAUAAAGAACUCCGAUAGCGAAGGCAGCUUACUUGAGUAUAACUGACGCUGAUGCACGAAAGCGUGGGUAGCGAACAGGAUUAGAUA